UACAUGUAACUAUAAUAGCCAGUGUCAGUGUUAAUGUUAAAAACGUUUGCUAUUAACAAAUCAACUCACCUUAUACAGUAAAACAAUUUGAAUUAUGGAUAACAAAUCAGUAUUUAGCAUUUUUAAUAUAAAAAAAAAGUGUAUCAAGUACUCAUACUGAAAAAAACGUCAAAGAAGACAAUGUUGGCAUUCUACAGUCACCACCCAGAGUAUAAGUAUCAUUUUUCAUUUUUUUAAAUUUAAGUUAACAUUUCACUUUUUAAAAGAUUGAUUCAUCUGGAUCUGGAAACGUCAUAACAUUACCAGAAGAAAAUGAAAAUCUACUAUUAAACUCCUACAAGGAUCCACAGAUUAAUGGUUUUCAGUCAAAUACCAGGUUAAAUGAUUUAGGUGAUAUCGAUUCAGGUUCUGCUAAACCUUUAUUAGAAAAAUACCCUCAGACACAAUUUGGUUCACAAAAAAGAGGUUUUACUCCAACUCGUUUCAAUGAGAUAGAGUAUAGUGUUGUUGAGGACGCUGUAUUUUGCUAUUCUUGUAGAAUGUUUGGGACUAGAACUGUAGCUAACAUGGAAUUUUCAACUAAAGGAUUUAGAAAUUGGAAAAAAAUUACAAAUGCACACCGUGAUAAAAUAUUAGAAAAUAGAGAUUACAUGCUAACAUUGAUUUAUAUUAUAUUAUUUUUGGC